GAUGAACGCUGGCGGCGUGCCUAAUACAUGCCAGUCGAGCGAACAGACGAGGAGCUUGCUCCUCUGACGUUAGCGGCGGACGGGUGAGUAACACGUGGAUAACCUACCUAUAAGACUGGGAUAUCUUCGGGAAACCGGAGCUAAUACCGGAUAAUAUAUUGAACCGCAUGGUUCAAUAGUGAAAGACGGUUUUGCUGUCACUUAUAGAUGGAUCCGCGCCGCAUUAGCUAGUUGGUAAGGUAACGGCUUACCAAGGCAACGAUGCGUAGCCGACCUGAGAGGGUGAUCGGCCACACUGGAACUGGGACACGGUCCAGACUCCUACGGGAGGCAGCAGUAGGGAAUCUUCCGCAAUGGGCGAAAGCCUGACGGAGCAACGCCGCGUGAGUGAUGAAGGUCUUCGGAUCGUAAAACUCUGUUAUUAGGGAAGAACAAAUGUGUAAGUAACUAUGCACGUCUUGACGGUACCUAAUCAGAAAGCCACGGCUAACUACGUG
rnacentral:rRNA from 1 species